rnacentral:rRNA from 1 species
UACGAAGGGGGCUGGCGUUGCUCGGAAUCACUGGGCGUAAAGCGCACGUAGGCGGAUUGCUAAGUCAGGGGUGAAAUCCUGGAGCUCAACUCCAGAACUGCCUUUGAUACUGGGGAUCUCGAGUCCGGGAGAGGUGAGUGGAACUGCGAGUGUAGAGGUGAAAUUCGUAGAUAUUCGCAAGAACACCAGUGGCGAAGGCGGCUCACUGGCCCGGUACUGACGCUGAGGUGCGAAAGCGUGGGGAGCAAACAGG